GGGGAGCAAACAGGAUUAGAUACCUGGUAGUCCACGCCGUAAACGAUGAGUGCUAAGUGUUAGGGGGUUUCCCCCUUUAGUGCUGCAGCUAACGCAUUAAGCACUCCGCUGGGGAGUACGACCGCAAGGUUGAAACUCAAAGGAAUUGACGGGGGCCCGCACAAGCGGUGGAGCAUGUGGUUUAAUUCGAAGCAACGCGAAGAACCUUACCAGGUCUUGACAUCCUUUGACAACUCUAGAGAUAGGGCUUUCCCUUCGGGGACAAAGUGACAGGUGGUGCAUGGUUGUCGUCAGCUCGUGUCGUGAGAUGUUGGGUUAAGUCCCGCAACGAGCGCAACCCUUAUUGUUAGUUGCCAUCAUUCAGUUGGGCACUCUAGCGAAACUGCCGGUGACAAACCGGAGGAAGGUGGGGAUGACGUCAAAUCAUCAUGCCCCUUAUGACCUGGGCUACACACGUGCUACAAUGGACAGUACAAUGAGCAGCGACACGGUGACGUGAAGCGAAUCUCAUAAAGCUGUUCUCAGUUCGGAUUGUAGGCUGCAACUCGCCUACAUGAAGCCGGAAUCGCUAGUAAUCGCGGAUCAGCACGCCGCGGUGAAUACGUUCCCGGGCCUUGUACACACCGCCCGUCACACCACGAAAGUUUGUAACACCCAAAGUCGGUGAGGUAACCUUCGGGAGCCAGCCGCCUAAGGUGGGAUAGAUGAUUGGGGUGAAGUCGUAACAAGGUAACCA
rnacentral:rRNA from 1 species